CAGCAGCCGCGGUAAUACGGAGGGUGCAAGCGUUAAUCGGAAUUACUGGGCGUAAAGCGCACGCAGGCGGUCUGACAAGUCAGAUGUGAAAUCCCCGGGCUUAACCUGGGAACUGCAUUUGAAACUGUCAGGCUGGAGUCUUGUAGAGGGGGGUAGAAUUCCAGGUGUAGAGGUGAAAUGCGUAGAGAUCUGGAGGAAUACCGGUGGCGAAGGCGGCCCCCUGGACAAAGACUGACGCUCAGGUGCGAAAGCGUGGGGAGCAAACAGGAUUAGAUACCCCGGUAGUCCCUGUCUCUUAUAC
rnacentral:rRNA from 1 species